CCUACGGGGGGCAGCAGUGAGGAAUAUUGGUCAAUGGGCUUACGCCUGAACCAGCCAAGUCGCGUGAGGGAAGACUGCCCUAUGGGUUGUAAACCUCUUUUGUCAGGGAGCAACGCCGGCUACGUGUAGCCGGACUGAGAGUACCUGAAGAAAAAGCAUCGGCAAACCCCGUGCCAGCAGCCGCGGUAAUACGGGGGAUGCGAGCGUUAUCCGGAUUUAGUGGGUUUAAAGGGUGCGUAGGCGGAAUGCCAAGUCAGCGGGAAAAUCGCGGGGCUCAACCUCGCCCCGCCGUUGAAACUGGCGUUCUUGAGUGGGCGAGAAGUAUGCGGAAUGCGCGGUGUAGCGGUGAAAUGCAUAGAUAUCACGCAGAACCCCGAUUGCGAAGGCAGCAUGCCGGCUUCCGACUGACGCUGAAGCACGAAAGCGUGGGGAUCGAACAGGAUUAGAUACCCCGGUAGUC
rnacentral:rRNA from 1 species